rnacentral:rRNA from 1 species
AGAGUUUGAUUAUGGCUCAGGCCUUUAAAGGGCGGCGUGCCUAACACAUGCAAGUCGAACGGCCUUAUAAAGGAAAACUCUUCGGAGUCGGAAUUCUUGACUUAGUGGCGGACGGGUGAGUAACGCGUGAGCAAUCUGCCUUUGGAUGUGGGAUGACAGCCGGAAACGGCUGCUAAUACCGCAUAACGCAUUCUGGCCGCAUGACCGGGAUGCCAAAGAUUUAUCGUCCAAAGAUGAGCUCGCGUCUGAUUAGCUGGUUGGCGGGGUAACGGCCCACCAAGGCGACGAUCAGUAGCCGGACUGAGAGGUUGAACGGCCACAUUGGGACUGAGACACGGCCCAGACUCCUACGGGAGGCAGCAGUGGGGAAUAUUGCGCAAUGGGGGCAACCCUGACGCAUCAACGCCGCGUGAUUGAAGAAGGCCUUCGGGUUGUAAAGAUCUUUAAACAGGGACGAAGAAAUGACGGUACCUGAAGAAUAAGCUCCGGCUAACUACGUGCCAGCAGCCGCGGUAAUACGUAGGGAGCAAGCGUUAUCCGGAUUUACUGGGUGUAAAGGGCGUGUAGGCGGCAUAGCAAGUCUGAAGUGAAAGCCCGUGGCUCAACCGCGGAACUGCUUUGGAAACUGUUAAGCUGGAGUACUGGAGAGGCAAGCGGAAUUCCUAGUGUAGCGGUGAAAUGCGUAGAUAUUAGGAGGAAAACCAGUGGCGAAGGCGGCUUGCUGGACAGAGAAUGACGUUUGAA